rnacentral:rRNA from 1 species
UACAGAGGGUGCGAGCGUUGUCCGGAAUCACUGGGCGUAAAGGGCGCGUAGGUGGCGCCGCAAGUCCAUGGUGAAAGCUCGAUGCUCAACAUCGAGUCGGCCACGGAGACUGCGGGGCUCGAGCACUGUAGGGGCAGAUGGAAUUCCGGGUGUAGCGGUGGAAUGCGUAGAGAUCCGGAAGAACACCGGUGGCGAAGGCGGUUCUCUGGGCCUUACCUGACGCUGAGGAGCGAAAGCGUGGGGAGCGAACAGG